UACGUAGGGUGCGAGCGUUGUCCGGAAUUAUUGGGCGUAAAGAGCUUGUAGGCGGUCUGUCGCGUCUGCUGUGAAAAUCCGGGGCUCAACCCCGGACUUGCAGUGGGUACGGGCAGACUAGAGUGUGGUAGGGGAGACUGGAAUUCCUGGUGUAGCGGUGAAAUGCGCAGAUAUCAGGAGGAACACCGAUGGCGAAGGCAGGUCUCUGGGCCACUAACUG
rnacentral:rRNA from 1 species